GAGGGUAUAGUUCAAGUGGUAGAGUGCGUGCUUAGCCUGCAUGAGGUCCUGGGUUCAAUCCCCAGUACCUCCU
rnacentral:tRNA from 1 species